UCAUGCCCAGAGUACAUCCCUGUCACUGGUGACAUGAGGGCUGAUUUGGUAACAUGGAUUUCCUUUUCAAGCAGUUAAUCAAUCUUGUGGAGGUGGCAGAUGCUUUGGAGUGGAACUCUAAGCGAACUCUGCUACAGUAUCCACACACCACCAAGCAACCCUUACACUAGUGUGCCUAAUUCCCAGGUGCAGCUUUUUCUAUAGUGACUGUGUACUCUUUGAUAAAGAUUAUAUGAAACGGGCCACAUAAGGAUCUAGAUAACCCGUCGGAGGACCAUACCAU